CGGUAAUACGGAGGAUCCGAGCGUUAUCCGGAUUUAUUGGGUUUAAAGGGUGCGCAGGCGGGAUGUUAAGUCGGCGGUGAAAUUUUGCAGCUCAACUGUAAAAGUGCCUUCGAAACUGGUUUUCUUGAGUGUAGAUGAAGUAGGCGGAAUUUGUGGUGUAGCGGUGAAAUGCAUAGAUAUCACGAGGAACUCCGAUUGCGCAGGCAGCUUACUAAACUACUACUGACGCUCAUGCACGAAGGCGUGGGGAUCAAACAGGAUUAGAUACCCUGGUAGUCCACGCAGUAAACGAUGAUUACUAGUUGUUUGCGAUACAAUGUAAGCGACUGAGCGAAAGCGUUAAGUAAUCCACCUGGGGAGUACGUUCGCAAGAAUGAAACUCAAAGGAAUUGACGGGGGCCCGCACAAGCGGAGGAACAUGUGGUUUAAUUCGAUGAUACGCGAGGAACCUUACCCGGGCUUGAAAUGCAUCUGGCCGGCCGCGAAAACGGCCUUCCCUUCGGGGCAGAUGUGUAGGUGCUGCAUGGUUGUCGUCAGCUCGUGCCGUGAGGUGUCGGCUUAAGUGCCAUAACGAGCGCAACCCUCAUCAUUAGUUACUAACAGGUCAUGCUGAGGACUCUAGUGAGACUGCCAUCGUAAGAUGCGAGGAAGGUGGGGAUGACGUCAAAUCAGCACGGCCCUUACGUCCGGGGCGACACACGUGUUACAAUGGGUGGUACAAAGGGCAGCUACAUGGCGACAUGAUGCUAAUCUCCAAAACCACUCUCAGUUCGGAUCGGAGUCUGCAACUCGACUCCGUGAAGCUGGAUUCGCUAGUAAUCGCGCAUCAGCCACGGCGCGGUGAAUACGUUCCCGGGCCUUGUACACACCGCCCGUCAAGCCAUGGAAGCCGGGGGUACCUGAAGUCCGUAACCGCAAGGAGCGACCUAGGGUAAAACUGGUGACUGGGGCUAAGUCGUAACAAGGUAGCCGUACCGGAAGGUGCGGCUG
rnacentral:rRNA from 1 species